UAACCGUCCAAAUCCUCCGUGAAUCUAUUUGAAUAGGUUGAGCUUCACAUUCUGCUGUCAGAUUUACUGAGAAUUCAUGCAGACUGCGCUAGAAAUGUUACGAAACAGACCUGUUACUAUUGUACAUGAACCUCGACGUAAGGUGGACCGUGUUUGACCAGUGAUUUUUUUGGGAACAUUUAAACGAAAUACAUAUCUGCAUAGUUUAUAUUUUUUACAACUGUACAAUUAUUAGUUAAAGGGAGAGAUUUUUAAAGGGGGAUAUCCAUCGAUUCGGAGUGUUUUUCUUCGUCUUUGUAGACCACGACAUAAGGGCCUCCACUACAAGCCUGACCCUGACAUAUAAGCCUGAACUAGACGUCUACUUAGACAUGACAUCUGUCACUAAUUCAUUCAGACAGCACAUAUUACGGUAAUGUGAGGAUGUAAACUGUGUGUCUAUAUACUGAAAGUUCCCAGUGAGGACUGAGUCUGACUAUCAGUCUAACCAUUUGGAUUUAGCACACCUGAUGGGAAAACCACCUUGUUUAAGACCUUAGGCAUCUGUUGGCAGACAUACAGAGAUGGCUCUUUAAUCAAAUUUUUUAAUAUGUUUUAAUAAGAUUUUUUUCAUUGCCCAGAAAGCAGCUAAUAAAUCACUCUUUUGCCAUAAUAUUAUUUUUAUAACGCAAACCUGGGCUGCUCAAGGGUUUACAAAGUUGCUUACACUAACACAGCAAGCAAUGGUUGUCAUGUCACGGUCUAGACCCAAAAUAGUCUGGCUAAGAGUAACCCACUUCUAGCCAAAAUAAACUUGAAUUUGGUUACAUGUCGUUUUUGCCAAAAUAACUUUGGAGAUGUAUGAGAUCCUAUUAUGCAAGGAAGGCCAUGUGUGGUGUUAGAUUUCAUAAAAUUUAUUUUUGGGCUAUGGUAAAACAUCCAUUUAAAUUUCCAUGACAGACCAAAUUUUGCCUUGUUUUAGCCUAGACGACUGGAUGGUGUUUGUAUUUCCAUUAGAUGCAUUUUAAAUGCAAUAUUGCUUGCUGGGAAGCCACAACUAUUAGAAAUUCUUUAAUGGUUUAGGAAAGAACACUGGAGGAUGAAGGCUUAUCAAUGCAUCAUAUAAAGGAAGAUGAAUGUAGUUUUUAUGAACUGACUUAAUGGAUGCAACUCAUCAGAUGUUGAUCGGGUCUAUGAAUUAUACAAUAGUUUAAAUAAAUAAUCACUUAAACAAGGAUUUACUAUCUAACAAAUGGAAUUCUGAAACAAAAACUGGGAUCACUCACAAAAUAAAAGUUAAGUUUAUUGUUGAACAACAAACUUCACACAUACAACAAACAGGCCAGGGUAAAACAAAUAAUGUAGACAAAAUAACAAGAAACCAAAACUCCUUUUCUUUGGCCUAGCCCACCCAUACAAAAACUAGUUUAUGGUACAACUAAAGUUCAUACAUAAAAUUUACUGGAAUGCUCAAGAGUUCAAUGGCUGUUGAUUUUAUACAUGUUGUCUUAUGUUGAAAUAUCGAGACAUGGUCAAACAAGUAAAAUUUCAUAUAGAAGCACCGUUUUGGUCACAGGAGAUCAUGAUAAAGUGACU